UAAAUUGGCUCUUCUUCUUGGGACAAUGUG
rnacentral:piRNA from 1 species